UGCGUAGGCGGAAAAUUAAGUCAGUGAUGAAAUCCUGCAGCUCAACUGUAGAACUGUCAUUGAUACUGAUUUUCUUGAAUUUAGUUGAGGUAGGCGGAAUGUGUAAUGUAGCGGUGAAAUGCUUAGAUAUUACACAGAACACCGAUUGCGAAGGCAGCUUACUAAGCUAACAUUGACGCUGAGGCACGAAAGCGUGGGGAGCAAACAGGAUUAGAUACCCUGGUAGUCC
rnacentral:rRNA from 1 species